AUUCUAAACAACACAUUAAAAUAUGAAUCUUUUGUUUGCAGAUAUAUAGAAACUUCAAGAACUGAUCAUAAUAUGAUUGUCUACAUCUAUAUAUGUAUAUCAUAUUCACAUUUUUGCUGAUAGUUGGUGGAAUUAUAUAUAGUUUGAAUAUGAAAAGAUAAACCAAUCAUGGAGUCGUAGCUAGCGUAAGCAUGCUGCCUGUGCAGUGCAUGCUUCAUUAUAUUCGUGGCUACAUCAUCAACAACUUCAGAAUAUAUCGUCUGAACCUGACUGGGGUACUUGGAAACAAAGUGAUGAUUGAAGUAUGAAGUUUAGGUCUCUCAAGACAGAAGGUACAUAAUUAAAGUGGUCAGCUUGUUUGAUCCAAGAAGAUUACAUUGUCAUUUUCUUUUUUCCCAAAAUAAUUGUAGUAAUUUUCAGUUUUGAAAUCUCCCAAAUUAUGUAUAAUAUUCCCUUUUAAGCAAAUAUUCAAGUAAAACUCACCUAUUUGAUCUAUGAACUCGCUACCAAUUCCUUCUAAUUAUCGGUAGUUGAUAAAUUUA